GGGCGUGUAGCUCAGUUGGUUAGAGCGCUUCCUUCACACGGAAGAGGCCCGGGGUUCGAGUCCCUGCACGCCCACCA
rnacentral:tRNA from 1 species